UGGCUCAGGACGAACGCUGGCGGCGUGCCUAAUACAUGCAAGUCGAGCGGACAGAAGGGAGCUUGCUCCCGGAUGUUAGCGGCGGACGGGUGAGUAACACGUGGGUAACCUGCCUGUAAGACUGGGAUAACUCCGGGAAACCGGAGCUAAUACCGGAUAGUUCCUUGAACCGCAUGGUUCAAGGAUGAAAGACGGUUUCGGCUGUCACUUACAGAUGGACCCGCGGCGCAUUAGCUAGUUGGUGAGGUAACGGCUCACCAAGGCGACGAUGCGUAGCCGACCUGAGAGGGUGAUCGGCCACACUGGGACUGAGACACGGCCCAGACUCCUACGGGAGGCAGCAGUAGGGAAUCUUCCGCAAUGGACGAAAGUCUGACGGAGCAACGCCGCGUGAGUGAUGAAGGUUUUCGGAUCGUAAAGCUCUGUUGUUAGGGAAGAACAAGUGCAAGAGUAACUGCUUGCACCUUGACGGUACCUAACCAGAA
rnacentral:rRNA from 1 species